rnacentral:lncRNA from 1 species
CAAAAGAAUCAGGAGCAAGGAAAAAGCAACUGAUUUUAAUAUGGAGUAAAGUGUUAUAUAACAAUUUGAUGAAUAAAGGUCUUGGCAAAGAAGUUGACAUCCACAUGUUAGGAAGCUGAAUCUCAGAGCUUGAUUAACAUAGGAUUCUUGCAUCAAGAUGAAUGUUAAAGACAAAAAGGAGAUUUUUUCAGAUAUGCAUGAAGCCCCUCUUCCAAGCAGGUCUUGCAGAAGGCAGAACUUCUUAUAGGCAGCAUUUGAAGAAAAUAAGUAUUUUAUACAGUGCCAACUAUGGUUUGGGCAUCAUGCUAAAUACUUUUACAAAGAUUAUCUCUUGUCAUCCUCAAAACAAUUCAGUAAGAUUUGUUGGUUAUGUAGCCAUUGGGGUCACAGCUUGUCUGAACCAACUCUCAACUCCAUCAACAGUAUGCCAAUAUGUUAUCAUCAAUAAGACUUUCCAAUGAUUGCAAUUUCCAUAUUUUGUCAUCUUUGCCAAUGUGAAAGAUGUGAGACAAAGCCUCAGAA